rnacentral:lncRNA from 1 species
AAUUCGGUUCACUCAAAAUCCCUAGAACCCUAAAACCCAAUUUUCUCCGGAUCGUUCUUAAAUUCAACGGCAAACACAAAACCCAUUUCUGUUGAUGCAAACAUGAGGAUGCGGCCCAGAUUUCUUGCACCUUAUUCUACCACUAUUUUGAUAUUUUCCACACCAAGUUUGUGUUGAUUUGAUUUCCAAGCCUCCCCAAAACUUCACCUGGAAAAAGUUGCACACCAACUGGCCUUUUAAAUCGCUGUUGGGAGAUUUUAUCUCUAUAACCUACGGAUUAUUGUGAUUUAGUCCCUA